AUUGAACGCUGGCGGCAUGCCUUACACAUGCAAGUCGAACGGCAGCACGGGAGCAAUCCUGGUGGCGAGUGGCGAACGGGUGAGUAAUAUAUCGGAACGUGCCCAGUCGUGGGGGAUAACGUAGCGAAAGCUACGCUAAUACCGCAUACGAUCUAUGGAUGAAANCGGGGGGUCGCAAGACCUCGCGCGAUUGGAGCGGCCGAUAUCAGAUUAGGUAGUUGGUGAGGUAAAGGCUCACCAAGCCGACGAUCUGCAGCUGGUCUGAGAGGACGACCAGCCACACUGGGACUGAGACACGGCCCAGACUCCUACGGGAGGCAGCAGUGGGGAAUUUUGGACAAUGGGCGCAAGCCUGAUCCAGCAAUGCCGCGUGCAGGAUGAAGGCCUUCGGGUUGUAAACUGCUUUGUACGGAACGAAACGGUGAGCUCUAAUACAGUUUGCUAAUGACGGUACCGUAAGAAUAAGCACCGGCUAACUACGUG
rnacentral:rRNA from 1 species